rnacentral:lncRNA from 1 species
CACAGCUCUGCUGUGUGCCACAUCUCAGGGGAGAAUGGGGUGGGGGGCUGUGGUGCCUGGGAAUGAGCUUGCAAAGCAGAGGGCAGUCGUGAGCUCUGAUGUGGUCCCUCAGGAAGCCUGUGGAGUCAGCACUGAGUGUGCUGGCUCAGCACUACCUGGCUGAGCUGUUUGCGGCAGGCUCACAGAGAGCAGCAGCCACCACACUGGGCAUCCUGUAAGGGCAGCUCACUCGCUCCCAGAUAAUGAGGAAGAGGCUGAGGCCCAGAGGGAGGCCACAAUUUGCACAGUCUUAGGGGAAAAACCAAACACCAAAUCCAUAGUCGUGCUUCAGGUUCCUGGGUGAAGGAA